CACACCGCCCGUCACACCAUGGGAGUUGGAUUGACCCGAAGGUGGUGAGCUAACCCGCAAGGGAGGCAGCCAACCACGGUCGGUUCAGCGACUGGGGUG
rnacentral:rRNA from 1 species